GACGUAGGGCGCGAGCGUUGUCCGGAUUUAUUGGGCGUAAAGAGCUCGUAGGCGGUGUGUCACGUCGGCCGUGAAAACCUGCAGCUUAACUGUGGGCGUGCGGUCGAUACGGGCAUCACUGGAGUUCGGCAGGGGAGACUGGAAUUCCUGGUGUAGCGGUGAAAUGCGCAGAUAUCAGGAGGAACACCGGUGGCGAAGGCGGGUCUCUGGGCCGAUACUGACGCUGAGGAGCGAAAGCCAGGGGAGCGAACGGG
rnacentral:rRNA from 1 species